UGGGGAAUAUUGCACAAUGGGCGCAAGCCUGAUGCAGCCAUGCCGCGUGUAUGAAGAAGGCCUUCGGGUUGUAAAGUACUUUCAGUCGGGAGGAAGGUGGUAAGGUUAAUAACCUUAUCAAUUGACGUUACCGACAGAAGAAGCACCGGCUAACUCCGUGCCAGCAGCCGCGGUAAUACGGAGGGUGCAAGCGUUAAUCGGAAUUACUGGGCGUAAAGCGCACGCAGGCGGUUGAUUGAGUCAGAUGUGAAAUCCCCGGGCUUAACCCGGGAAUUGCAUCUGAUACUGGUCAGCUAGAGUCUUGUAGAGGGGGGUAGAAUUCCAGGUGUAGCGGUGAAAUGCGUAGGGAUCUGGAGGAAUACCGGUGGCGAAGGCGGCCCCCUGGACAAAGACUGACGCUCAGGUGCGAAAGCGUGGGGAGCAAACAGG
rnacentral:rRNA from 1 species